UGGUCGCAUGGUAUAGUUGGUUAUUACGCCCGCCUGUCACGCGGGAGAUCACGGGUUCGAGUCCCGUUGUGACCGU
rnacentral:tRNA from 2 species